AUUGAACGCUAGCGGGAUGCCUUACACAUGCAAGUCGAACGGAGUGGCGAACGGGUGAGUAAUGUAUCGGAACGUGCCCAGUAGCGGGGGAUAACUACGCGAAAGCGUAGCUAAUACCGCAUACUAUUGGAGCGGCCGAGAUCGGAUUAGCUAGUUGGUGGGGUAACGGCUCACCAAGGCGACGAUCCGUAGCUGGUUUGAGAGGACGACCCGCCACACUGGGACUGAGAAACGGCCCAGACUCCUACGGGAGGCAGCAGUGGGGAAUUUUGGACAAUGGGGGAAAGCCUGAGCGAGCCACGCCGCGUGUGUGAUGAAGGCUUUCGGGUUGUAAAGCACUGUUGGUAGGAAAGCGGUACCUGCAGAAAAAGCACCGGCUAACUACGUGCCAGCAGCCGCGGUAAUAC
rnacentral:rRNA from 1 species